GACGAACGCUGGCGGCGUGCUUAACACAUGCAAGUCGCGCGGAGCGGCGAACGGGUGAGUAACGCGUGAGUAACUGCCCCCCCCUCUGGGAUAACAGUUGGAAACGGCUGCUAAUAUCGGACAGUGGGGGAUGACGCGCGUCCUAUCAGCGUGUGGGUGGGGUAGUGGCCUACCAAGGCGACGACGGGUAGCCGGCCUGAGAGGGCGACCGGCCUCAUUGGGCUGAAAUACGGCCCAAACUCCUACGGGGGGCAGCAGUGGGGAAUAUUGCACAAGGGGCGGAAGCCUGAUGCGGCGACGCCGCGUGGGGGAUGACGGCCUUCGGGUUGUAAACUCCUUUCACCAUCGGCGCGGUGGAUGGAGAAGGAGCACCGGCUAAGUACGUGCCAGCAGCCGCGGUAAUGC
rnacentral:rRNA from 1 species